rnacentral:rRNA from 1 species
UACGUGGGGGGCAAGCGUUGUUCGGAAUUACUGGGCGUAAAGGGCUCGUAGGUGGCCAACUAAGUCAGACGUGAAAUCCCUCGGCUUAACCGGGGAACUGCGUCUGAUACUGGAUGGCUAGAGAUUGGGAGAGGGAUGCGGAAUUCCAGGUGUAGCGGUGAAAUGCGUAGAUAUCUGGAGGAACACCGGUGGCGAAGGCGGCAUCCUGGACCAACACUGACGCUGAGGAGCGAAAGCCAGGGGAGCAAACGGG